rnacentral:rRNA from 1 species
AUACGGAGGGUGCAAGCGUUAAUCGGAAUUACUGGGCGUAAAGCGCACGCAGGCGGUCAAUUAAGUCAGAUGUGAAAGCCCCGAGCUUAACUUGGGAAUUGCAUCUGAAACUGGUUGGCUAGAGUAUUGUAGAGGGGGGUAGAAUUCCACGUGUAGCGGUGAAAUGCGUAGAGAUGUGGAGGAAUACCGGUGGCGAAGGCGGCCCCCUGGACAAAGACUGACGCUCAGGUGCGAAAGCGUGGGGAGCAAACAGGAUUAGAUACCCUGGUAGUCCACGCUGUAAACGAUGUCGAUUUAGAGGUUGUGGUCUUGAACUGUGGCUUCUGGAGCUAACGCGUUAAAUCGACCGCCUGGGGAGUACGGCCGCAAGGUUAAAACUCAAAUGAAUUGACGGGG